rnacentral:rRNA from 1 species
AUUGAACGCUGGCGGCAGGCCUAACACAUGCAAGUCGAGCGGAUGAAGGGAGCUUGCUCCUGGAUUCAGCGGCGGACGGGUGAGUAAUGCCUAGGAAUCUGCCGGGUAGUGGGGGAUAACGUCCGGAAACGGGCGCUAAUACCGCAUACGUCCUGAGGGAGAAAGUGGGGGAUCUUCGGACCUCACGCUAUCAGAUGAGCCUAGGUCGGAUUAGCUAGUUGGUGGGGUAAAGGCCUACCAAGGCGACGAUCCGUAACUGGUCUGAGAGGAUGAUCAGUCACACUGGAACUGAGACACGGUCCAGACUACUACGGGAGGCAGCAGUGGGGAAUAUUGGACAAUAGGCGAAAGCCUGAUCCAGCCAUGCCGCGUGUGUGAAGAAGGUCUUCGGAUUGUAAAGCACUUUAAGUUGGGAGGAAGGGCAGUAAGUUAAUACCUUGCUGUUUUGACGUUACCAACAGAAUAAGCACCGGCUAACUUCGUG